GAGGCCUAGAUGGACAAUAAUCUUCAAAUAAUAGUAUUCGUCAAGUAGACCAGCUCGUUGGCGAUCAAGGUACGUUUUUCCACGGUGCCACCCGAUUGACGAAUCAGCCGCACGAGCAGAUUCCGAAUAAUGCCACCUUUUUGUCUGCAGCUUUGUGUACCGGUACGAAAAUUCAGCACGGGAUGAAUUACUUUUUCAAUUUUUUGCUCGCUUUUUGUUCUUUUGCUCGUUUACUUUUGGAAAAAGCUAGCAAACCAACCGGCAGUUUUCCUACGGAAAUCCAAGAUACUGUCAAACUACCUCGUGCGUCCAUAUAUGCUGGCUUCCUUUAUUUUAGGUACUAACAAGUGACAUGUUAUCCAUCGAAUGGAACCGUACCAUAAUAGUACCAUAGUGACAUGCAUUAUACUACUUGUUUAGUUUGCAAAAAAAUUGGUCUCUAGCUACCGUAGCAUUUUCGUUUUUAUUUAACAAAUAUUGUCUAAUUACGGAGUAACUAGACUCAAACAAAUUCAUCUCACAAAUUACAGGUAAACUGUGCAAUUAGUUUUUAUUUUCUUCUAUAUUUAAUGUUUCAUGCAUGCGACCAAAGAUUCGAUGUGACGAGGAAUAUUGAAAAUUUUUGCGAACUAAACAGGCCUUGUUUAGUUUCAAAUUUUUUUGUAAAAUCGACACUGUAGCACUUUUGUUUGUAUUUGACAAAUAUUGUCCAAUUAUGGACUAACUAGGCUUAAAAGAUUCGUCUCGUCAAUUCCGAUCAAACUAUGCAAUUAGUUUUUAUAUUCGUCUAUAUUUAAUACUCCAUACAUGCGUCUAAAGAUUCGAUGUGACGGAGAAUCUGAAAAUUUUUGUAAAAUUGUUUGGGAACUAAACAAGGCCCUCAAAAAGACUAGUUGUAGCAUUUAAAUUUUGUCUCACAAGACCAUAGUUCUAGUCUGCAAGGAUGAGCCAAAGUCAGUGUGGGAGCCACCUGCAAAACCACUACAGCUAACGCAAAAAAAAAAUUGUUCACAAAAAAAAAUUGUUCACAAAAAAAAAAACAACCGAAAAAAAAAUAAAGGUGACUUCCGGAGGACUCGUGUAUAGGUGCAUGGACUAGAAUAGGAUAAGGAUAUUUACGUAAUUUUCUCUUUGCAUUGAUUUGCGUGCCUAAUCCUAUAACUAUGGUUUUUUUUUCGAUGAAGCGAGUAUAUUUUAAAGAGAACUUAGGGUCUAUUUACAUAACAAUAAGUUGCUAAACUUUAGCCUUUGAUAAAUGUAAAUAGGAGGGCUAAUAAAUGGACUAAAGUUUAACGAAAGCUCUAAUUAACUAGUUGUUAGCUUACUAGUUUUUCAACCCAGU
rnacentral:lncRNA from 1 species